AAACCUUAUUGUAAUAUCAGGUUCUGGCAGGGGUGAUGUAGAAUGGAGAGAGGUAUUUGCUUACAGCGGGUGAAAAAUGUUUAAGAGAAUAAAAGGAAAACUUUAAACAGUGUCAAGUCCAAUAAAAGAGAGAGGACAUCGGGGGCCAUCCAGCUGCCCACAAUCUGCUCACAGGUAAAGAAAUGGAAAUUUGUCAUUAACAGAAGAUAAAAACAGAGGGUGGAAGGAGGAAAUUGAAGCACAUUCUUGGACAAGAAUAAAAUCAUUAAAAUGUUAACAAAAGAGGCAUAAGGAGUCACAGAUCCUCAAGAGAUCAUAAGUCCACUCCGAAUGAUAAAUGGCCAAAUCCUAAAAGAAGCCAAUGGCUGUCUCAGUAGAUGCCAGCUGGGCCCUGUGACAUCAAGGACAAGAAACCCUCCCACUUCUACCUCUGCAUUGUCCUAGCAUUGGGUUUGGCCCUGCUACCAGCCAAGAUUCAAUCCUCGAGGGGAAAAAAUGGUAUUCCCCAUAGGACUGAGAUUGCAUUUAGAAGCCCAGUUGUAGAAUUGAAGACUGAGUUUUAUUUUACUUCAUAUGCCUAAGUUAGAACUGUACUGAGUAUUUUAUUUACAAAUAAAAAUUGAGGAUUUUUUUUUGGUGUAGCUGUAAUUAUCUAUAUUCAGACCCAAAGUUCUUUUAAUUGUUCAUUUGUUUAAGUUAUCUUUUAUCACUUUCAAAGGCAUGGGGUAUUUAAAGAAGUGUUUAAAUUUAUCGUGGAACCAUUUUUAGAUGUUAAAAUGUUCUGAUUGCUAAUGUGAUUUCUUUCUGUGUUUAAACAACAGCUGUGCAUGACUGUCCCAUAUUUUCCCUUUGUACUUUAAUGAUUUGAGCUACAUCUUAAGAAAACGUUGGUACUAUUCUUGCUGGCAUAUGUUAUUGAUAUAAACAAUGGUAACAUGAAGUUCUGAAAUUAAGUUAACUUGCGUUCGAUAUCUCUAUACCUGUAAACAUUGAAACUGGCAAUUAAAUGACCCAUGUCACAGUCCCACAGAGAAGCGCCCAGGUUUGUGAAAAUAAGUGGAUAAAAAUGACUCUCUAGAUCAAUGGUAGACUCAUAGCCAUUUUUCUAAGAGUCCUCAUGAAUGCAUUCUGAAAUGAUAUAAAGAAUGUGGACAACUUUUAGUAAUCCUGUCAUUGUUUUCAAUUUUCUAUCAGUUGUACUGUGACAUAGCACCUGGAAGAUGGCUUUUCACUCACAGGAGCUUAAAAGAAGCCAGUUGUAAGAGUAGAAAACCAUAAUUGAGCACUUAAUGUGUACCACUAUGAUAACAUUGUCAUGUAUCAGAAUAUUUAAUCAUCACAACCAACUGUUAGGUUUUUAAUAUUCAUCUUUAUUGAUUCUGUCCUAAAUGCACCCACAAAGUUUUUGGACCAGAGACAGAUUUUUUUAUGAUUUACAGCAAAAAACAAGCAUGUGAUUCCCCCGUGCUUUCGUUCUUAUGCCAGGGCCAUUGUGAUGAAAGCCAGGUCAAAUAUCUUAAACACACCAAGUCUAUAUGGUAAUCAAGGAAUGGAAAAAUAUGAAUUGUAUCUGCUUAUAGUGGGGAGUAAGGCAACUGUCUCUCUUCUCCCUUCUGAGAAAGUCUGUUUUGGAAACAUGGUAAGUCCUAUGUCUUCAGUUUCACAAUUAAGAGAUGCCUCCAUGGUCCUGGGCCUCAGUAUUGCACCCCCUGCCACCUCCCUCAAAAUGUCCAUGCAUAACUCAGGAGGUGGGUGAGCCUCUCUGAAGUUCUCAUUAUCUUUAGAGUUGUAAAUUAACUUCUAAGGCUGGUUUUUAAUUCAGAUCUCAAGUUUCAGUAAAAUCUGUGUAGAAAGGCAUAGAUGUGUCAAAACAUAGAAAUACUUUCUCUAUGACUUACACACACACACACACACACACACACAAAACACUAUGUCAUUUUACUGAUAUGGCAACUUAAUUUAAAGGACUUAUCCAGGGUCAAAUUUUUAGUUAUCAAUAAAGCCAAGAUUUUGGCCCCCAUGUAACUUAAAAGCUCACAUUCCUAAAGAUUACAAUGCCUUGGUUAUUUAUUGGUUAAUAAAUGACUGCAUGAGUAAAGCAGCCAUUCUAGCUGCCACAAAUCAGCUUUUACUUCACAUUCUUUUUCAGAUUUCUCUCAUGAUUAUGUAAAGCGGUAGUUGUAAACUAUGGAGGAGUUUAAUAUAAUUUUUUCAUUCCAGAGAACGAACUCAGGGUUAGGAAGGAAAUUUUUAAAAACUGAGUGAGGACAUGUAAGAAUCACUAAAACAAAAAAUGAAAACUCAAGUAGACAGUUCGGGGAAUCUACAUAGGAGCAAUAGAGCUAGAAAAAUAGUAUUUCCUGAUCCCUUAAGUGGGGGAUGUGAUUUAAUAGGUCAACUGACAAGCACAGUGUCUAGCAUUUGUUUCACAUAGCAUAGAUGUCCAUAAUUAACACAUGAAUGAGAAAAUGAAUACAAAAGUGGGACUUGCAUACUAAAUGCAAAUGUUUUGCCUGUUUAAUUUUCAAAUGUCCUCAAGGACAAUUUUAAGCAGAAAGCAACAAAGUAGAUAAAGAACAAAUAAUAUGUUUAAAUGAAUUAUUGGUUUUAUAUAAUAGAAGAUCUCCUAUAAAAUUUAUUUACCCAUUUUAUGAUGCUUUAUGCAGCUUAUAUCAGAGAAGACUAAUAUUUUCAUAGUUUGCAGGAUACUUUUGAUUGACAGCAUUGUUUUCUAAGGCUAAAAAGUAGGGAAAAAACAGAUAUUUAACUGAUACCAGAGGUAGAUCCUGGUUUUAUGGGGCCUGCAGCUUAAUUAAUUUAUACAACCAACUUUAAGAAAAAAAAAUUAACAAUAAAAACACAGGUAAAGGGACUUGAAAGGAACCUGAAUAAAUGUGUGGCCCAGAAGCUUGCACACAUUAACAUUUGACUCAGACAAUUUAAAGAUUAUGUUUUAUUCUAACAAAAUCUUUUAUUUCCAGGCAAAUAGCACUUUAACCUACCUUUGUCUGCAAUCCAUACUGCUCUGAGACACCUAACACUCAGGUUUGAAGAACUGCAAUCUCCAGUCUGCUGACAUGGGUAGAAUCUCGUUUGUCACCUGUAUAUGACAGCACCAAUGAAAUGGUGAUUUGGCAUUCUUGGCUUGUCAGUGUAUGAAAUACCAUGUAGCAAAACAAAACUAUGUUUCCAAAGGUAUGAGUUACAAGACAAUUUAUUAAACAUUUUUAAAUAGUUUAUGCUAUGUAGUUUCUAUAAAUAAAAAAGUAUCUGUAUUUAUUUGAUGAUAACAGUUGAGGCUUAUUUCAUUGUGUUUUUUUCCACAUUUUUUACUUUCUAGCUUUUAAUUUUUACUUUUUUUUAACAUUUUCUAAAUUUUCUACCAUAAGCAAGCAUUAAUUUUAUAAGUAGGAAGUUUAUUUUGUUAUUGAAACAACAGUGAAAUGUGAGAUAAAUGUUAAAAUCCAUUAACUCAAAAUAAAUGAAGAACAAUUAUUUUGGUGAAAUGAUAUAACUAGACUAUGUGGUCAAAUCAACAGUGAAUUACAACCUUGAAAGAAUGUGAUAUCGUGUCUUCUGCACAAAUAAAAUCUUGAUAGCAUAUGUGAAAGAAUUUAUAUAUGUGAACCCAUUUCCCAUUCUUGAUAUGAAAAAAAUUACAACUGCCCUAUUUUUAUUGCUUCUUCUUUGUAAUAAACAUAUGACUUCUUUGCAAUUGACUAAAUCAUGUAAAUUCACUGCAUGUUAGAAGAGAUUAAAUCAGAAUCAGUUCUGCCUUCAUUGCAUAAACUUCCAGUUACAUGAUGCCACAGAAAAAUUUCCAAUCAGUUGCAUAAAUUUGAAAAUAUAUUUUUUACACCAUAUAACCUCAACUUAGUACUAGCAAUCUGUUACAUGAGUUUCUAGUUUAUAUGGUGGCUUGAUUUGUCAAGAAAUACAAUCACAGGUUUUUGUUUUUCAUUUUUUGUUUUUUGUUUUGAGACAGAGUUUUGUUCUUGUCGUCCAGGCUGGAGGGCAAUGGCGCGAUCUCGGCUCACUGCAACCUCCUCCUUGUGUGUUCAAGCGAUUCUCCUGCCUCCGCUUCCUGAGUAGCUGGGAUUGCAGACGCCUGCCACCACGCCCAGCUAAUGUUUGUAUUUUUAGUAGAGACGGGGUUUCACCAUGUUGACCAGGCUGGUCUCAAACUCCUGACCUCAGAUGAUCCACCUGCCUGGGCCUCCCAAAGUGCUAAGAUUACAGGUGUGAGCCACUGUGCGGGGCCACAAGUUGUUUCUUAUAUCCUAUAUAUCCUAAUAAAGAAUACAACUGCCAAGAAGACAUUUGAGGGAGAAAAUAAACAUUGACUCUUUGUAUCAUAGUUAUACUGCUUCAUCUCAAAUCCUAACAAGUUAUUAAUGUUUGUAUUUUUAGUAAACGUAACUAGAUGAAAACUACUAAAGUGGGCAAAUAAGAAAUGUUAGUUUAAAAAAAAUAGAAUGGAAGAAGAUGUUUGAAAACUAUAGCAUUUAUUAAAUAGUAAAUAUUAAAAUACAAAGUUUGAAAAUAUAGUCUAUAUGAUUAAAGAAAAAUAAUAAAGCACUAUCAAGAUACUAUCUCUUUUUUCACCCUGUUUGUUAAAUGUAUUAUAAAAAUGUGAAGUCAUAUCAAAGUUUAUUAAUAAAAUUUAAAAAUGGAAUAAUAUGAAAUUUGACAAUAUCACUUUAACCCCUUUCACAAGUUAAAAUAUAAUAAAUAUUUUAAAACAAAAUGUUAAAAAAUGUAGUGAUAAUAUGCCAGUUAGAAUGGUGAUCAUUAAAGAGUCUAGAAACAACAGAUGCUGGUGAGGGUGUGGAG
rnacentral:lncRNA from 1 species